rnacentral:rRNA from 1 species
ACGGAGGGGGCUAGCGUUGUUCGGAAUUACUGGGCGUAAGGCGCACGUAGGCGGCUUUGUAAGUUAGAGGUGAAAGCCCAGAGCUCAACUCUGGAACUGCCUUUAAGACUGCAUCGCUUGAAUUGUGGAGAGGUAAGUGGAAUUCCGAGUGUAGAGGUGAAAUUCGUAGAUAUUCGGAAGAACACCAGUGGCGAAGGCGACUUACUGGACCUUUUCUGACGCUGAGGCGCGAAAGCUAGGGGAGCAAACGGGA